UCCCAGCUGGCUGAGUGCAAAGAAUCUGCCUGCCAAUGCAGGAGACACAGGUGCCAUCCCUGUGUUGGGAA
rnacentral:tRNA from 1 species